AACCAUUCUCACCUGCGGCUAGACCUGCGGAAGGAUCAUUACCGAGUUUACAACUCCCAAACCCCUGUGAACAUACCAAUUGUUGCCUCGGCGGAUCAGCCCGCUCCCGGUAAAACGGGACGGCCCGCCAGAGGACCCCUAAACUCUGUUUCUAUAUGUAACUUCUGAGUAAAACCAUAAAUAAAUCAAAACUUUCAACAACGGAUCU
rnacentral:misc_RNA from 1 species